UUCGCCCUUAGAGUUUGAUCCUGGCUCAGAGCGAACGCUGGCGGCAGGCUUAACACAUGCAAGUCGAGCGAGCGUAGCAAUACGUCAGCGGCAGACGGGUGAGUAACGCGUGGGAACGUACCUUUUGGUUCGGAACAACACAGGGAAACUUGUGCUAAUACCGGAUAAGCCCCUUACGGGGAAAGAUUUUAUCGCCCGAAAGAUCGGCCCGCGUUUGAUUAGCUAGUUGGUGAGGUAACGGCUCACCAAGGCGACGAUCAGUAGCUGGUCUGAGAGGAUGAUCAGCCACAUUGGGACUGAGACACGGCCCAAACUCCUACGGGAGGCAGCAGUGGGGAAUAUUGGACAAUGGGGGCAACCCUGAUCCAGCCAUGCCGCGUGAGUGAUGAAGGCCCUAGGGUUGUAAAGCUCUUUUGUGCGGGAAGAUAAUGACGGUACCGCAAGAAUAAGCCCCGGCUAACUUCGUGCCAGCAGCCGCGGUAAUACGAAGGGGGCUAGCGUUGCUCGGAAUCACUGGGCGUAAAGGGUGCGUAGGCGGAUCUUUAAGUCAGAGGUGAAAGCCUGGAGCUCAACUCCAGAACUGCCUUUGAUACUGGGGAUCUUGAGUUCGGGAGAGGUGAGUGGAACUGCGAGUGUAGAGGUGAAAUUCGUAGAUAUUCGCAAGAACACCAGUGGCGAAGGCGGCUCACUGGCCCGAUACUGACGCUGAGGCACGAAAGCGUGGGGAGCAAACAGGAUUAGACACCCUGGUAGUCCACGCCGUAAACGAUG
rnacentral:rRNA from 1 species